UAAAGUUUGACAACCUGUUUAAGGUUAUCCAAAGCUUACAUCUUAAACAGGUUGUCAGUUUUUUUAUCAAUACAAACAUAUAGAUUUUUUGUUUCCCUUAAAUUUACUGUUGACUAAUGAUCUACCAAAUAUAAUUAUAAUAAUAACAGUUUUUAAGAAAAUACAAUUUAAUUAGUUUAAUCGAUGUCAAUUAACAGCAAAAACAUUCUCAUGGUUGGCUGAUCGUAUCCAACGACAACUACAAAUAUAUGGAUUUGAACAAUAAAAAAAUGGUUUGGAUUCAAUGAAGCACGACUCUAAACAGUAAACUUUACAACUGAAAGGAACCGAUGAUGAUGUUAGGAGACGAUGAUGAUGGUUUCUAAACGGUUGAUGGAAAAAUGGAUGAAGAUAAAAUUGUCAGGCAAGAAAAAAGAUGAGGCAAAGAAACAAGGAUAAAAAAGAUUUUUUCUCCAAAAUGUAAAUCCAAUGUGGUUAAAGGCAAGAGGAGAGGAACCAUGAGUAACAUUAAAGAAACGCUAAGGAGAGUGAAAAAAAGAUUAUUAAUCAAGUUUUUGUAAAUAAUGGAGAGACUUUGAUAUCAAACUGAGAGUCUAAAGCUGUUUACUGUUAACCAUAUCAAUGUUACCUGACAUUAAACAACAACAACAACUACUACUAGAGAAACAAGAGUAACAAACAAUAAUAUAAAUUGAUGUUGUUUCUGUUCUUGUUGUUAUUGUUAUCUUGUUUCAACUGAUGAAACUGUGAUUACCAGUUACUCUAUAAGAAAUAAGGGAAAGACUAAAGAAGAAGCUGAAGGAGAACAAGAAGAAGACGAAAAAACAAGUGAAAACAAGUAAAAGGAGAUGAGCAAGAAAAAAGACAAGAAUAUCAAAGUACUAAGACACUUUCUAUUUCCUGAGAGAGUAAAUGAUAGUGACUGGCUUACCUUUACCCUGAAAAUCACUAUUUAAACAAAAGAGGAGAAAGGCUGAAAGAAGAAAAAAAGAUGAACAUGAAGACGGAGCAGAAAAAGAAAGAAAAAAGCAAACCAAGAAAGGAUAAAGAAGGCAAAAAUUGUAACACAAAUUUUGUAAAGAUAACUGAACGUUAUUCAAUGUGAAGUCACUUGAAAAUAUGUUUACCUUGGAUUAAACAGAGUCAAUCACUGUUUUGCUGCUCCUGACCAACCAAAAGCCAAUAGCAAAUAGCAAACAACUUAUUUCUUGAGGAGCAAAGAGGCAACACUUAUUAUACACACUCACAAAAAAAAGGAAACAUCUUAAACAAGAAGUUGAAAUGAAAGUUUACAUUUGACACUCUAUUCAGUUCAUCUUCAUCUUUACCUUGUCUCUUCUUGAAUCAUUUAAAUUAGAUGGUUCACAGGAUGGGAAUCAUUGAUAAUCUUGAUAUAUAUCCAUCUAAAAAAACAGCUUUCUCUUAUUCAUCUCAACAUUUUAGUUGUUACUCUGGUUGGAUAGGCAGAAGAAGAAGAAGAAGAAGAAGGAAAAGAUUCACAAAAUGUUGAAUCCUUUUUCAAUUAUCCACUUGACACAAGACAAGAACGACAAAGAAACUCAACAGAGAGACAAGGAUAAGAUGAAGAUAAAAGUAAAGUGAACAAACUUAUUUCUCUACCUGACCAGUCUUCAUCUUCAUCCUGAUCAUCAUCAUCAUUUCCAUCUUCUUCAGAAUCUUCAUCCAUUUUACCUUUACUUUUACCACCCUAUUCAAUAUCCUUUGAGAUUCUCUCCUGGUUACCUCUAAUUUGGAUUGAGGUCAAUCCAAAAUGAUUCCAGAGGUUUGCCACAAACUCAAUGACAGCAUUUGCUGUGUCUCUCAUCCUCAUCCUCAUCUUCCUUCCUCCCUCUCUUAUCAUCAUUUUAACCUUCACUUAUUUUGACUUCUUUUUUGCCAGCUCUUCCUUCAUGUAUACACUUUUUUGCUGCUGCCUGUUUCACUCUCUUUGGUCAUCAUCAUCUUGAUUCUCUCGCUUAUGCUCACUUUGAUUCUCAAUUUUUUGCAAUUCCUUGGACAUUUAAGUGGACCAAAUAUUAAAGUUUAAUCAUAUUUAAUCAGUAAUCGUAAUUGAUGCAUACAACAAUUAGAAUGAAAUCUUGCAUAAAAAAAACAACAUAAAUCAGCGCAAAGUUAACCCGUGAAAAUCAUUGGCAUUUUCAAUUUAAACUCAAACAAUCAACAAUGAAAAAUUGAAUCCCAAUCACUGGAUAUAAGUAUAUUAAAGUGGAACAUUGGAAAGAAGGAAAAGAUGAACACGGAAAAAAGGAGAAGAG